CGAUUGGGAUUUUUGUUUGGGGGUCAAAGUUUUGAAGCUAUGGUAAGGGGAGGGGGUCAUUAUGUGGUUCUGGUUCAUAAUGUUUUUUUUUUUUGGGGGGGGGAAUAAAUUUGAACAUACCCCUCAGCUGAUAAACAAUGACCGUUCCCUAAGUUUAGCUUCUACAGACCCCUCUACUAUAGUGAUAAUUUCUCAUUAUUUAAAUCCAACUGAAAUAUGAAAAAGCAUUCCGACCUGGGAGUCCUUCCUUCACCAGUGAUAAAUCUUA
rnacentral:lncRNA from 1 species